GACGAACGCUGGCGGCGUGCUUAACACAUGCAAGUCGAACGGAAAGGCCCUGCUUUUGUGGGGUGCUCGAGUGGCGAACGGGUGAGUAACACGUGAGUAACCUGCCCUUGACUUUGAGAUAACUUCAGGAAACUGGGGCUAAUACCGGAUAGGAGCUCCUGCUGCAUGGUGGGGGUUGGAAAGUUUCGGCGGUUGGGGAUGGACUCGCGGCUUAUCAGCUUGUUGGUGGGGUAGUGGCUUACCAAGGCUUUGACGGGUAGCCGGCCUGAGAGGGUGACCGGCCACAUGGGGACUGAGAUACGGCCCAGACUCCUACGGGAGGCAGCAGUGGGGAAUAUUGCACAAUGGGCGGAAGCCUGAUGCAGCAACGCCGCGUGCGGGAUGACGGCCUUCGGGUUGUAAACCGCUUUCGCCUGUGACGAAGCGUGAGUGACGGUAAUGGGUAAAGAAGCACCGGCUAACUACGUG
rnacentral:rRNA from 1 species